AUUGAACGCUGGCGGCAUGCUUUACACAUGCAAGUCGGACGAGUGGCGAAUGGGUGAGUAAUAUAUCGGAACGUACCGAGUAAUGGGGGAUAACUAAUCGAAAGAUUAGCUAAUACCGCAUAUUAUUCGAGCGGCCGAUAUCUGAUUAGCUAGUUGGGGGGGUAAAGGCCUACCAAGGCGACGAUCAGUACCGGGUCUGAGAGGAUGAUCCGCCAGACUGGGGCUGAGACGCUGACCGGACUCCGACGGGAGGCAGCAGUGGGGAAGUUGUGACGAUGGGCGAAAGCCUGAUCCAGCCAGUCCGCGUGUCUGAAGAAGGCCUUCGGGUUUUAAAGCUCUGUUAAUCGGGACGCGGUACCGGAAUAGAAAGCCACGGCUAACUACGUGCCAGCAGCCGGGGUAAUAC
rnacentral:rRNA from 1 species